AUAGCGCCACCUUGUUAUGGUGCCCGCAAGCGCAGAACGCAGUUAAGCCACUGGGAUAAUCGGGAAACAGGUGAAAAGCCUGCACUGCCCCCGCAACGGUGAUAUGAGUCUUGCUCAUUCAGUCCGGAGACCGGCCAUAACAUCCAUUUCAUU
rnacentral:ncRNA from 1 species